rnacentral:rRNA from 1 species
AUUGGUCAAUAGCCUAACGGCUGAACCAGCAAUUUGAAGGAAUAUAGGUUCAAGUAAGUAAAAAGAACCCUGUUCAUUAUAAGAUAAUGAUAAUGACAAUUUUUUAUAACUAGCUCUUGACCAAAUCACGUGCCAGCAGUCGCGGUAAGACGUGAAAGACAAGUGUUAUUCAUCUGAAUAGGUUUAAAGGGUACCUAGACGGUAAAUCUUGCCUUUUUUUUAGGAACAGAUUUACUAGAGUUUUAUGUGAGAAGGGGAGAAUUAGAGGUGGAGAGAUGAAAUUCUGUGAUACCUUUAGGACUGGUAAUGGCGUAGGCAACCUUCUAUGUAAAAACUGACGUUGAAAGGACGAA